GAUGAAGAACGCAGCGAAAUGCGAUAAGUAGUGUGAAUUGCAGAAUUCAGUGAAUCAUCGAAUCUUUGAACGCACAUUGCGCCCCUUGGUAUUCCAUGGGGCAUGCCUGUUCGAGCGUCAUUUGUACCCUCAAGCUAAGCUUGGUGUUGGGUGUUUGUCCACUCCCUCGUGUUUGGACUCGCCUUAAAACAAUUGGCAGCCAGUGUUUUGGUAUUGAAGCGCAGCACAAUUUGCGAUUCUAGCCUAGAAUACUAGCAUCCAUCCAGUCAUUUUUAACGCUUGACCUCGGAUCAGGUAGGGAUACCCGCUGAACUUAAGCAUAUCAAUAAGCGGAGGA
rnacentral:misc_RNA from 1 species